AGCGAACGCUGGCGGCAGGCCUAACACAUGCAAGUCGAACGAACCUUUCGGGGUUAGUGGCGGACGGGUGAGUAACACGUGGGAACGUGCCUUUAGGUUCGGAAUAACUCAGGGAAACUUGUGCUAAUGCCGAAUGUGCCCUUCGGGGGAAAGAUUAAUCGCCUUUAGAGCGGCCCGCGUCUGAUUAGCUAGUUGGUUGAGGUAAUGGCUCACCAAGGCGACGAUCAGUAGCUGGUCUGAGAGGGUGAUCAGCCACAUUGGGACUGAGACACGGCCCAAACUCCUACGGGAGGCAGCAGUGGGGAAUCUUGCGCAAUGGGCGAAAGCCUGACGCAGCCAUGCCGCGUGAAUGAUGAAGGUCUUAGGAUUGUAAAAUUCUUUCACCGGGGACGAUAAUGACGGUACCCGGAGAAGAAGCCCCGGCUAACUUCGUG
rnacentral:rRNA from 1 species